rnacentral:rRNA from 1 species
CGAUAAAAGGGGUGAGAGACCCCUUCGCCGAAAGAUCAAGGUUUCCUGCGCAAUGCUAAUCAGCGCAGGGUUAGCCGGCCCCUAAGGCGAGGCCGAAAGGCGUAGUCGAUGGGAACCAGGUUAAUAUUCCUGGGCCAGGAGGAUGUGACGGAUCUCGAAGGUAGUUCAUCCUUAUCGGAUUGAAUGGGCUGCUUAGAGGUUCCAGGAAAUAGCCCUCCAUGAGAUCGUACCCUAAACCGACACAGGUGGACUGGUAGAGAAUACCAAGGCGCUUGAGAGAACCACAUCAAAGGAACUCGGCAAAAUACCUCCGUAAGUUCGCGA